rnacentral:tRNA from 2 species
GCCGGGAUAGCUCAGCUGGUUAGAGCGUCGGAAUCAUAAUCCGUAGGUCGGGGGUUCAAGUCCCUCUCCCGGUA